rnacentral:rRNA from 1 species
GACGAACGCUGGCGGCGUGCUUAACACAUGCAAGUCGAACGGAAAGGCCCCCUUGUGGGGUACCCGAGUGGCGAACGGGUGAGUAACACGUGAGUAACCUACCCUUGACUUUGGGAUAACUUCAGGAAACUGGGGCUAAUACCGGAUAGGAGCUCCUGCUGCAUGGUGGGGGUUGGAAAGUUUCGGCGGUUGGGGAUGGACUCGCGGCUUAUCAGCUUGUUGGUGGGGUAGUGGCUCACCAAGGCUUUGACGGGUAGCCGGCCUGAGAGGGUGACCGGCCACAUUGGGACUGAGAUACGGCCCAGACUCCUACGGGAGGCAGCAGUGGGGAAUAUUGCACAGUGGGCGGAAGCCUGAUGCAGCAACGCCGCGUGCGGGAUGACGGCCUUCGGGUUGUAAACCGCUUUCGCCUGUGACGAAGCGUGAGUGACGGUAAUGGGUAAAGAAGCACCGGCUAACUACGUG